rnacentral:rRNA from 1 species
GAGAGUUAAAUAGUACGUGAAAUUGUUGAAAGGGAAACGAUUGAAGUCAGUCAUGCUAGUGAAAAAUCAGUUUGACGGGUUUUGAGUUCGGGAGUAGAGGCAGGGUCAAACCGUUUCUCUUUUGAACUUGGGAUUUGUUAGAUGUACUUUUUCUUUGGCAGGUCAGCGUCGAUUUCGGAGGUUGUAAAAUACUUGGGGGAAAGUAACUCUGCUUCGGGAGAGUAUUAUAGACCCUGGGGGAUGCAGCCUGUGGGAUCGAGGAUUGCAGCAAAUGCCUUUGGCUUGUCGCCUGAUCUCUGGAUGUUACCUCGCUUUUGACAACAUUCUUGCCACUUGUGGGUACUAAUGCCCAUUAGGUUAGAGCGAUCAAAAAUUUUGCUAAGGAUGCUGACGUAAUGGCUUUAAACGA